rnacentral:misc_RNA from 1 species
AGAGUCAGCCUCUACGCUGGAAUUAAAGGUGAACUUGAUCGGAGAGAAGGUAGUGGAUCCCCUGAUACAUUGCUGUGACAAGUGUAAACUGCCCAUCCUCAUCUAUGGCCGGAUGAUUCCUUGCAAGCAUGUGUUCUGUUAUGAUUGUGCAAGAAAGACAGACAAAGUGUGAAGAGAAUGUGCAGCGGAUAGAGCAGUCUGCUCUGGGAACGGUGUUUGUCUGUAGCUACGGGGGCCCCAAGCAUGGAGACGGUGGGUGCAGGCGCACUUACCUGUCUCACAGGGACCUACAGGCUCACAUCUACCACAGACACAUGAGAACGGACUCGGCCAAGUCUUCCUCCAGCUCGAACGCCGGAUCUGGUGGGAGUAAAUCUGUAGUGGAACAAUACACUACAUCUAAAGGGAGCUCCAAGUCGCAGCAUUCCACACCAGUCAUAGAGCAGUAUACAACCGCAGCAGGAAGACAUGCCACCGGGGACAGCCAUUUAAACUUACCACACUCCUCCCGCCCGAGUGACGCCAUGUUUCAGCAGUCUAUGAUGAGUCAAAUGCCUCCCCCUAGUCAGGCCCUGCCCACUCAGACCAUGCUACAGGGCCCCCCACCCAGACUACCGUUAUCUCAGGGCCAGGCUCCCACCCAGACCAUCAUACCGGGACAACAAGCUGACAGCUACCAGCUCUCUUCUAUGUCAGGAAUGGCGCCUGGGAGGAAGACGAACCUCAUCACUGUUCCCCUGCAAGAGGAGCCUGAUUACCGGAGGAGAGACCUAGCUGGUGGAUACAGCUCGCUUACUCCCUCUACAUUCUCAACACCAAUGCCCAUGCCUGGAAACAUCGCCCCACAGCAAGGAUUCCCAUCCAUGCAUCAAGGUCCCUCUCUGACGUCCAUUGGGGUUUUCCCCCCAUCAGGGCCCCCUCCCUUCAAUUCCCCUCCAUUAAGGUCACAACUGGCAGUCUCCUCUGGUGUCAGUGUUCCCAUUUCCCACCCACCCCCGAUUAGUGUACCUGGCCCUAACCUUUCCACACCACCCCCUCCCCUCCUAUCUGGCCCUAGAAUGCCAAUACAAGGCAGCCAGCCACCCAGAUUCGGGAGCCCCCAGGGACAUUUUAAUGACAGUUAUGGACAGAGUGGGUCAGGGGGUCAGAACCCCCAUGGGCCGUGGAACGCUCCCCCUCCCCAGAGGAGUAGUGGGGGUCAGAGUCAGAGAGCCCAGUCAGACAGCUACCAGUAUUAUCAGUGAACUACAGAGCUGGUGUUAGACCUGAUUUGGGAGAUAUCUAUUUUUAGGCACAAAGACGUGUUCUUAAUGUUGUUCGUAAUGUUACAUUAUGAUAGUAUGUUAUUAUGUGUAAGAGAGUGUUUCAUUGUGAAAAUAUUGUACAUUUAUAUAAAACAUAUUUUUUGAAUGUGCUAUGAGUGAAGUGUUUCAACAAAUAAUGACAUAGCUAUAAUAAAAAGCCUAGAAUUG